rnacentral:misc_RNA from 1 species
GAUGAAGAACGUAGCGAAAUGCGAUAAGUAGUGUGAAUUGCAGAAUUUAGUGAAUCAUCGAAUCUUUGAACGCACAUUGCGCCCUUUGGUAUUCCUUAGGGCAUGCCUGUUCGAGCGUCAUCUACACCCUCAAGCACAGCUUGGUGAUGGGCGCCUGUCCCGCCCCCCACGGGGGCGCGGACUCGCCUCAAAUGCAUUGGCGGCCGGCGACCUGGCUUCGAGCGCAGCAGAAACGCGUACUCUGGGACCGGGCGCCCGCUCCCAGAAGCCAACCCACCCAGUUUGACCUCGGAUCAGGUAGGGAUACCCGCUGAACUUAAGCAUAUCAAUAAGCGGAGGA